rnacentral:rRNA from 1 species
GACGAACGCUGGCGACGUGCUUAACACAUGCAAGUCGAACGGCAAGGCCCUGGUUAGGUGGGGUGCUCUAGUGGCGAACGGGUGAGUAACACGGGAGUAACCUGCCCUCGACUUUGGGAUACCGUCAUGGAACUGCGGCUAAUACCGGAUAGGCGCUCCUGCUGCAAGGUGGGGGUUGGAAAGUUUCGGCGGGUGGGGAUGGACUCGCGGCUUAUCAGCUUGUUGGUGGGGUAGUGGCUUACCAGGGCUUUGACGGGGACCCGGCCUCAGAGGGGUACCGGCACAAUGGCCAAAGAGAUACGGGCCAGAGCAGUAAGGGAGACAGGAGUGGGGAAGAUUGCACAAUGGGCGGAAGCCUGAUGCAGCAACGCCGCGUGCGGGAUGACGGCCUGCGGGUUGUAAACCGUUUUAGCCUGUGACGAAGCGCGAGUGACGGUAAUGGGUAAAGAAGCACCGGCUAACUACGUG